rnacentral:misc_RNA from 1 species
AACUUUUAGCAACGGAUCUCUUGGUUCUGGCAUCGAUGAAGAACGCAGCGUAAUGCGAUAAGUAAUGUGAAUUGCAGAAUUCAGUGAAUCAUUGAAUCUUUGAACGCACAUUGCGCCCGCCAGUAUUCUGGCGGGCAUGCCUGUUUGAGCGUCAUUUCAACCAUCAAGCCCCCGGGCUUGCGUUGGGGCCCUGCGGCUGCCGCAGACCCCUAAAACCAGUGGCGGGCUCGCUGUCACACCGAGCGCAGUAGCAAUAUCUCGCUCUGGGCGUGGCGCGGGUGCUUGCCGUAAAACACACCACUUAACAAGGUUGACCUCGGAUCAGGUAGGAAUACCCGCUGAACUUAAGCAUAUCAAUAAGCGGAGGCU